rnacentral:antisense_RNA from 1 species
GGGCCGCCAUCAGAGGGGCCUGUCUCGCUCCCCCAGACACAGAGCCUCUGUUUUCCUCACUCCAGGCCUGGAGUCCCCUGCUUAACAGCUUGGAUUGAAGAGGCUUGUCCGGGGGUACUGAGACCUUGCAGAUCAUUCCAGGAGCCGCCUCCAUCCAAGGCCAACAGCUUCAUCAGGCCGCAGGCCUGGGAGUGCCCGCGUCAUUUUUCUUCCCUGCCUGGCCGUCACCCUGCAGCCCAGGUUGUUGGAACACCCUCCCCUGGACCCUGGGCCCCUGGAGCUACCUGCAGCUGUCCUGAUCCGCGGAGGCCUCCUUUUGUGGAGGGCUCUUCCUGUGACUCCGGCCUCCAGCCGGCCGACCCGCCGGGGCAGCAGGCCAGCGCCGAGCGCGGCCCGGAGCCUUGGAAAAUGCGAGCUCAGAGUAGAGCCCUCUCCUGCUGGAAGAGAUGGCUUUGGAAGCAGAACCCGCCCCAAACCCAAUUCCUGGCCCGGCAGGAGGGGGAGGGGGAGGGGAGUAGGAGGAGGGGCU